CACACACUGGAGACUGUCCCCACUGGUUUUCAGCCUAGCGCCACCGGCCACUCGGGCUUCCCAACACCAAUGCGGGCCCGCUCCCCAACUCUGGGCACGGUGGGCAAGGGCCCUGCCAGUGUUCAUCGUUUGCAUUGUUUUUCCCUAAAGAAGAAUCGAAAUUGCAUAAGCUUCAGGCCCUAUGAAAACUGGAUCUGCCCUUGACUGAGAGAGUUUACCACUCACAAACACCGGUGAAAAGCUAUUAAAAGUCAGUCUUCAGGAAGAAGGAAGUGGAAUUCAGAAGGAAGAGGUGGGAUUCAAGAAGCAAUGAGACAAAUAAGAAGCUUCAGACUCUAAACUGUGGCAAUGAAAGGGAAGAGUUUUCAGAGCUGAACAGUGUAUAGACAGAUACAGAGAAAUUGGAAAAGAGAAUCCAUCUCUGGAUUGGGUCGUCUGGAGAGAAGGAGGCCGACUCAUGAAGAGGUUUCCAGAGAGGACUGGAGAACGCAGAUGGUAAAGCCAUCAAGGGGAGAUGGUGUGAGAGGAUUGUCAAGCUGGCAGAAUUCAGGCGGAAGCCGCUGGUGGGGAGAGCUUGUCUGACACAAAGAGCAGAGCUGAGUGCUAAAGAGGAAUAAAACCUCAUACCACAUCAUCUGGGCACCUGGAUCCAGCCAUGACUGAAGCCCAACUACCCUGGGCUUUUCUGUUAUAUAAACAGCUAAAAGCCCCCA